CCUCCGUCCCGCUAUUCAUGGCACGUUUCUUUUCGGCACGGAGAUUAAGGAGAAGCAAAUUAGGUGAAUAAGGAGUGUGGUCUAAAUGUAAAAUUUGUGAUUAAGGAGAACACAUACACUGUGAAAAUCAAACUGAAUCCCUCAGAUCUUGUGUCAAAAUUCCCAAGUUAUUGAAGACAAAAUCGAAACACGUACACGGUAAAAAUUCCCCAAAAAUAAAAUCGAAACAAAAGAUCAAAACAAAAAUCGUUAGUUUCUGAAAAUCAAAACAAAAAUCAAAACGAAACCGAAAUCCAAAUAUUUGUGAAAUUUACAGUCGAAAUUGUUACAUUCUGUCUGAAAAUUAAGCACAAUUUUCAGUAAAAUAAAAAGACAAAGCAACAGGGAGAAUCGCUGCCGACGAGCUCAGCCAAGUUAACAGGGAGAGGAAGGAGCGGGAGAGUGAAACCCUGGCGGUGGAGCGGCCUGAAUAUUACCGGAGAACGAAGACGGGCGCCAGAGCCAGGGGUGUGAGGGCGCGACCUCAGUGGUGACCGAGAAUUUGGGGUGGUGGAGGGCACGAGGGCGGUGGUGGCGGCAGAUCGACGGCAAGCAGAUUGAGGCGGCGGUGGGGUGGUGGAGAAAAGGGUCGAGAUGGAGAAGGCGGCAAAGCCAAGCAGAGAGGGAAAGCGACGAGCAGAUUUUGUGGGAGAGAGGCAGCAGGCGGUGGAGGAUGGCGGCAGCGCUAGGCAGUGGAGACGGCGGAGGGUGGUGGCGGAGCUAGGCAGUGGAGGCGGCGCUAGGGUUUGGUGGUGGAGGGAUGAAGAAGAGGAUAGAGAGAGAUG
rnacentral:lncRNA from 1 species